CCUGCACACAAACCCAAAGGUCAUUUGCUGUCGGUGUCAGUGACCCUGCUGUGUGUGCACAAAAUAAAAUGGAACUCGUCGCCUUUCAUAGGCUAUGUUAUGUGCCAUUGAAAGUAAAAUCAGGGUGCAACAUGU